CAGGUGGAGGAGGGGGAGGAGGUGGCCCUGCAGUUGGAGGAGGUGGCCCUGCAGGUGGAGGAGGUGGCCCUGCAGGUGGAGGAGGUGGCCCUGCAGGUGGAGGAGGUGGAGGAGGUGGCCCUGCAGGUGGAGGAGGGGGCCCUGCAGGUGGAGGAGGGGGCCCUGCAGGUGGAGGAGGGGGCCCUGCAGGUGGAGGAGGGGGCCCUGCAGGUGGAGGAGGGGGCCCUGCAGGUAGAGGAGGUGGCCCACCCGGACACGGAAGGACCAGCGGUCUCUACUGUGCAGAGGAAGCGGAGGAGAAAAGAGCAUCACAGCCAGAAGGGGCUUGAAAAAAGGAACAAGACUUUACCGAAGAAUUGCCCCUACCAUAUUGGUCGUGACUCCUUCGAAAUAAGGAGUUACGGGAAGGAGAGGAUGAGAAAGGGCAUUAAAGAAGUCCUUGUUGAUUGGCAGCCUUGCCCAGUUUGUGGGAAGGAGUGGGCCAGGUCCUGGCAGCCAAAAGAUUUGAAUUAGUCCCCCUGC
rnacentral:lncRNA from 1 species